rnacentral:tRNA from 1 species
GGGUCGUUAGCUCAGUUGGUAGAGCUUGACUUUUAAUCAAUUGGUCGCAGGUUCGAAUCCUGCACGACCCACCA